rnacentral:lncRNA from 10 species
GAGUAGUCCUGGAGUAUGGGAGAGACUUUGAUCCCAGGAAGAAAUUUUUUCUACAAGAGCAUUACACAGAACCAGGAUGAAUCUUAGCCAAAAUUUGACUUGGAUGUUGAGACCGAUGAUGCCACACACACACUAAGAAGACUCACUCAAGAUAGAUGCCGACUAGAAUUGGAGCCUUGGACUUGGAGAUAGAUCAAGGAUCUGACGACUCUCUCUGCCCUCUUUGGAUCAAUGCAGUCUCUUUGUCAUGAUGUAUUUCCUUGUUUUGUUCUAUUCUACUUGGAUACAAACUGACCGUUCUCUGUAUGCCCAGUUUGAAUCCCAAGAAAGCCACUUUGGUUAGCAAUUUACUACUGACCCGGUUGGCCAGUGCUACACCUGGCACAAACCUGGGCCCUGGAUGGACUGCCUGUGGGACGCCUCUGUCUGUCCUAACAAUGUCUGUUCCCAGGCAAAGCACAGCAUGAGAGCUGUGCUACUGAGCGGGAGUGGAGGCUGCAAGGGAGCUGCACAUAGGAGUUAGCUGUGAUGGGCUCCAUUAAUACCUCAACCCUAUUCAGUUCUGUAUGGAUGCGUGAUGUAUUCAACAAAACAAAGAACUGAGAGAACACAGGCCUUAGAGUAUUUUAAUCAAAGGAGCAAACGUUGGAAAUAUUGGCAAUGAAAGAGUGCACAUGGAUAAUUUGGUGUAUACUGAAUUCUUUGCCAUGAAUUCCCACAGGAGCAGGAAACACAGAACGACGUCCCAGAUUCGCAACAUGUUGAAAUCGCUGACUCCUUCUGAUGCCCCUGAUGUGUUCUGACAUUCACAAGCGCUCCCCACAGGACCCCAUCUGCACCAACGUGUGUGUUCUCUCAAGCUCCAACAUGGAUACAUCAUCCCACUUUACCUUUUAUUAUUCCUUUGUUGUAAUAUGUAUUCAAAUACAGUUACUGAACAGGAUCUUAUGGAGUAAAUACGGCGGUAUUGAUAGUCUCCAUUAUCUCAAUUUACAGAAGAGAGAAAAAUCACUUCCAGAAUCUGAGUAAGCCUAAGCUGCCCUUUAUUUUUUUCCUUUGCCUUUAGCUUUGAAGGCUUGGAAAGUCCUAUUAUCCUAAAAGUUAAAUUGGCUUGUCUAAUGCAUACAGAUGGCAAAGCCUUGUGUUAGGUACAGCUGUCAUUUUCAUCUUCAAAAGAAAGGAGGGAAAGUAUCAUCAGCUCACCUGCAGCAUCUAACUUAGAAAGGUGAGCAUUGUGCAGACAGUAAGAAGGUCUAGCUGAUGCAGUCGCAUCUGCAUAAAAUAACAAUUUUUUUUGGAAGAAAGGGUUCUCAGUGCCAUCAUCCCCUGACUUAUUCCAAAUACACUUUCAACUUUAGGAAAAUAAAAACAUAUUUGUAUCUCUGCUAAAGAUAUCAUUACUUGAAAGCUUUCAUGUUGGAGUAAGGCGUGAUGUUUGUAGAAUCACCUGGUUUGAUUCUCAUCCCAACUUUUUACAUGAAAUAUACUGAGUUUGCAUCCUCCGGGCCAAGAUAGAAUCAACCUGUCUCCUGAGUGCCCACCCAUUUCUCUUAGAACAUAUCCAACCUUCCAUUCUACCUCACGUUUAUCUCUUUCUACCAAACUGUAAGCUUCUUACCUUGCCUUCUUAUAGAUUGUGAAAUGUUUAUUGAAUAAAUUCUUGGACUUUUAUAAAGAGAUAAAGCAUUUCAGCAACAUCUUCAAAAAAUGCAUAUGCCGACCUAUUUGAUUUAGUAUGUAUGCAGUGAGGCCAGGUGUGGUGGCUCCUGUCUGUAAUCCCAGCGCUUUGGGAGGCAGAAGUGGGAGGAUCACUUGAGGCCAGGAGUUCAAGAUCAGCCUGGGCAACAUAGGAAGACCCUGUCUCUACAAAAUAAUAAUAAUAAUAAUAAUAAAUAAAUAAUAAAAACUAGCUAGGCAUGGUGGUAUGUGCCUGUGAUCUUAGCUACCCAGGCUGAGGAGGGAGGGAUUCCUUCAGCCUGGGAAUUUGAGAUUUUCAUUCUGUGAGCUAUGACUGUGCCACUGCACUCCAGUCUGGGUGACAGAGUAAGACUCUGUCUUGGGAAAAAUAAAACAAAACAUAUAUAUGUAUAUAUAUAUAUGCAGUGAAGCUAUCCACAUGAGCCUGACUUCUUAUUGUAAAGAUCUAAUAGAUUCAUAGCUUCAGAUAUAAUCCAAGGUUGUGCAUUUUUCAUUAGAUCAUGCAAAUGAGGUGAACAGAGAAAUGAUUACACUUCAGCUUACGGAGGGAAGAGAUGCUCACUUAGCAAGUACCUCCACCAGCAGAUUGCUGAACAUUCUCUGAGUUUAUUUUACAGUGUGCGUAGGCCCACUUUGCUGGAGAAAGGCAACUGAGAAGAGCUUUGCCAGAAAUCUGGAAUAAGGCUUGCAUUGUUGCCAUAGAGGGGACUUUCUUUUUGAGCAUCGUGUAGAUCUGUUUUGGCUAUUUUUCAAGCCUACAUUUAUGCCUGGGUCAGUAACAGGAAAGAAAUCUGUUAUUAAUUACUACAAUUUGAAAAGAAGUUAAAAUUGAUCUCUCACAAUCUGACUUGGCAGGAGAAAGACAUUUACCACUCAAAAUUUUGGAACUUGCCUUAGCACCAACAUUAUCUGCUGACCGUAGUGGGAAGUCUUUUUUGUAGAAAAACAUUCAGUUCUAUACAAUUACUAUGUGACAGAAAAGAUAGUGUAAAAAGAUUUUUUAAAAAUCUGUAAACAGAAUCCUGUUUUACUGUGUUUAAUAAAUGGUCCUCUGUAAAAGAGUCAAGUCCUACGGUAUAGUAACAUUUCACUUGCCUGUAAACUUGGAUUGCCAAAUAUCAAUUUUACCUUGAAGUGACAUGCUCCUGUAUAAGAAGAUAAAUAGCUGUUUGGUUACAGACAGCAGAAUUAAGUAAUUUCAGCAAAUGAAUUACCAUAUUGACCUUGUGUAGACCUGGCAUGACAGCUUGCCAAGAUGGGCCAUUGCCAAGUUCCUGUCUCAUUUUUGUGAUGUAAACCCCACCUUUUCUUCUGAUUUAUGGUCGA